GUGUGUAGGUCCGUUAAGACGAAACAUUCCAGUAUUUUGGACAGUUUCCUUUGAAUUAAAUUCAACUAAUCGAAUUUAAACCGUGGGCAACGUUGGUUUAUAUACAUAUUUUUUCGACAAUAGAGGUUCUAACAACGACAAAGGUAUUGAGACACAUUGAAAAGGCAGAAACGACGGUAAUAAGCGUGAUUUUAAUCACCUAUUUGUCAACUUAGGGAGCUACCAUUUGAUUUUUAUGGGGGGGCUAGGAUGAAAAAUUUUGUCCUGCAUUUUUUUUAGUUGUAAUCUCUGUCCUGCCUUUUUAUUUUUCACUCUGUUCGGUCCUGCCUUUUUUUUUUUUAGUUUAUCCUGACUUUUUUUACCUAAAUUGUCGUCCUGCCUUUUUUUUUACUCAAAACUCCUGUCCUGCCUAUUUUUUUCAAAUUUCAUCCUAGCCCCCCCAUAAAAAUCAAAUGGUAGCUCCCUUACAGCCUUUUAAACCCUUUUCUGUGUAUUUCUAUACAGUCCGGAAUGCGGUUCGAUAAAAUUGCUCCUGUCAAAUCAUGUAAUUUCGCUACCUCCAAUGGUAGACGCUACAACGAUUGAUGUCG
rnacentral:lncRNA from 1 species